CCUCACCCCCUCCCCCACCACCCUGCACAUCCCCGACUCGCCAGACGGGGCGCUGCUGCUUCAGCAAAGCCAAUCUCAUGUGGUUGGCAGUCAUCUGACUCCUUGUGUGAAGGAAUCAACUUUGACUGCCCAGACGAAGCUAAUGA